AGUCUUCAGGGCAGGGAUCGUUUCCCUACCGGCGGUAAAGCCCGCGAGCCGUAACAGGCAUGAUCCGGUGAAAUUCCGGGGCCGACAGUUAAAGUCUGGAUGGAAGAAGAU
rnacentral:ncRNA from 1 species